rnacentral:rRNA from 1 species
GACGGAGGAUGCAAGUGUUAUCCGGAAUCACUGGGCGUAAAGCGUCUGUAGGUGGUUUAAAAAGUCUAACUGUUAAAAAUUGAAAGCUUAACUUCAAAGAUGCCGUAGAAACUUUUAAACUCGAGGAUGGUAGGGGUAGAGGGAAUUUCCAGUGGAGCGGUGAAAUGCGUAGAUCUUGGAAAGACCACCAAUGGCGAAGGCACUCUACUGGGCCAUUACUGACACUAGGAGACGAAAGCUAGGGGAGCAAAUGGG